rnacentral:tRNA from 1 species
ACCUGGAUGGCUCAAUGGGUGGAGCAUGCGACUCUUGAUCUCAGGGUUGUGGGUUUGAGCCCCACACUGGCUA